rnacentral:rRNA from 1 species
UGGGGGGGGUUAACCAUGCAAGUUCGAGCGGUACAGGAAUUAGCUUGCUAAUUUGCUGACGAGCGGCGGACCCGUUCGAUUAACGCGUAGGAAUCUGCCUGGUAGUGGGGGACAACAUGUGGAAACGCAUGCUAAUACCGCAUACGCCCUACGGGGGAAAGGAGGGGAUCUUCGGACCUUUCGCUAUCAGAUGAGCCUGCGUGAGAUUAGCUAGUUGGUGGGGUAAAGGCUCACCAAGGCGACGAUCUCUAGCUGGUCUGAGAGGAUGAUCAGCCACACUGGGACUGAGACACGGCCUAGACUCCUACGGGAGGCAGCAGUGGGGAAUAUUGGACAAUGGGCGCAAGCCUGAUCCAGCCAUGCCGCGUGUGUGAAGAAGGCCUUCGGGUUGUAAAGCACUUUCAGAGGUGAGGAAGGGUGCGUAGUUAAUACCUGCGUACUUUGACGUUAACCUCAGAAGAAGCACCGGCUAACUCUGUGCCAGCAGCCGCGGUAAUACAGAGGGUGCGAGCGUUAAUCGGAAUUACUGGGCGUAAAGCGCGCGUAGGCGGUUUGUUAAGUCGGAUGUGAAAUCCCCAGGGCUCAACCUUGGAAUUGCACCCCGAUACUGGGCAGGCUAGAGUACGGGUAGAGGGGGUGUGGAAUUUUCCUGUGUAGCCGGUGAAAUGCGUAAAUAUAGGAAGGAACCUCCGUUGGCGAAAGCGAAACCCCCUGGACCGAAAC